rnacentral:lncRNA from 1 species
GUAUUUCAACGGUGAAACUGCGCAAGGAAGCGUGCAUAGACCCGUGACGUUGCCAAGUCGCAGAAUUCCCGUCUUCUUUUAUUCUUUAAAUUGAAAACUUCUCAACGUUAUUUCUUGAAAAUUUCGUUGAGUUUUAAUAUCUGCGAUAAGACUAGUGUGCAAAAAUUUUAAGCCCUAAUGGUGUUAGUUCUGCCAGUUUUUAAAAAUAAAAUAAAUAAGUUGUUGGCUGUGGGGCUCAUUCGCGAGUUGAAGCGAACACCGAUCGUACUUGGUUUUUUUAACUCUGUGAACCGUUUGCAGUACAUAGGCGUCGGAAACAGUGGUUGUCGUAAAUGUUUGUCAUUGCCACCCUGAGAAAAAAGACAGAGGAAAACAAUUUAAAUUAGUGUGCGGCGGCUCAGCUUGUAUUCAGAGCGUAACUGAUUGACUUUGAUAAGCUCAACCUGUACCCACGUUUCAUGUUUUUUUCUUUUUAAAUUACUCAUACGUGAAACAGAAGUAUGAUUUUAGCUUUAGUGUGUUCUAAUGCGUUGAUUCUUGCUUCUAUUGAGGCUUCGCCAACUCAGACACCAUCAAGCAAAAGCUUCGACGAUCUAUUAGAUGAAUUUACAGCCAUAGAAACUAACCGAACGACCCUCAUAAAGAAGGCAGCGGCAAUGGCCUCGGACCUCAAAAGUAACGAGACGCUAAAAUUCCUGGAAGUCAUUGAACAGGCGAAUGAAGUCCUUGUGAAUAUAAGACGUUACUUUGAUGCUGGUAGGGUCAUGUUCGAUGUCAAUGAAGGGAAAUCAAACCUCACUGAAACAGAUGUGAUUGCGAAAACUCAGCUCUUGCAAGAAGAGAAAUUCAUGAAUAUUCAAAUGCACAAGCUGCGUGCAAUCUACAAAACUAUGUAUGCUCAAAUGGAAGACGUGCCAAAGGAGGAAUUGAACAUCGACGGUGAAACUACCAAACCACGUAUCUCGUUUGCGGUGUUUAAAAAUCUACGCUCACAUUUUAUUUUUUUUGAAGUAGACCAAAUCAAUAUCAUUCCUUGAAAUUUUCACAGAAUUUUCUUCGCACGAAGAGGAAAAAUCACAGAAAUUUUCAAAACUGAAUGUUACGUAGUUUUUCAUUUAAAAAAUAAAGUAUGGCAGGAAGUCUACGACGUCGCAAACCGAGAUACGUGGUUUGGUAGUUUCACCGUCGACAUGCUGCUGAGACCGGUAAUUGACGCUCUUACGCAGAGUGAUCAGGCGCGAAUACCGCUAGGGAAUUCAUUUCAAACUGAACUGGAUAAAGUGGAAAAGACGAACAUAUGACAAACCGGACAAUCAAACCAUGAAAUACAAACAUAAGCAAAUUUGACGAUUAAAAUACGCGCACGGCACUGGUCUGUUGUUUGUGAACAAGUUUUCCGGAUAUAGAGAGGGACUGCUCGUUCAACCCCACCUCGAUACAUCCAUAUCCAAUCAAUGUUUUAAGUUUUAUUUUAAUCAAGGUCGCACUCGAUGACGAUUUGACAAACGAGGCACUGGUAUGUUUGGGUUUGACAAACGAGUCAGUGGUAGGAAGUGCAUAUUGACGGAGCAGUUUGGUCCUUGAGAAUAUUCAAGAACAUGUGAUUACAGAAAAAUGUAGUACGCAUCAAGGUUCAAAUUACUGCAAUUACAUUAUUAACCAGGAAUGGCAGCAUAUCUUAGCCCUAGAAGGUGGCAGAAUUCUUGGGUAUACUGUAAAGGAUGAAAAAGGCAGGAAUGAUAGAAGGCAUAAUUGCAAAUACCUCAGUUUAUUCAAUGAAAUACUGAACUUCUUGAGAAAGCUUAUCUCUUGCAUUAUGUCAGAAAUGUCCAGGAAACAUCACGUUUCAGUCAAAAUUUAAUGAUGCCAGCGUCCACGUCUGGGUUGAAUCAAAAUAUAUUCGCUGAUGAAGUUAUUGGCAUUUAAAAUAGACAAACUCCAUUUACAAAGCUAUUAUGAAUAGGUUUAGAUAAUCCAAAACGGAAUGAUAAUGCAACAUCGACCAAAAGUUUCGUGAGCAUACCGAUUUUUUCAACUUGACAAAUAUUAUAAAUAAUCGUGUAGGUAUUUGAACCAAUCCAAGAAUUUUAUAUAGUUUGUAAGAUGGAAAUUCCAAAUCUGAGGAGAGAUAACUCGAGAAGAUUAGGUGGAACAGUCUAGGAGGAGACGGUGCAUGAAUUGAUUCAGCCGCCAGUAUAACUUGUUGCGUCGUCCCGAUUUGCAGGAGCGUUUUCUUCUGUUAAGUUUGAACGCCACAUGAUAACACCUACAGCAACCAACAAGUGAGCUUUGUAGCCUCCAAGCUUUUACGUAAAAUUCGAAAACACGUAACGUAAAUUACGUUCGGAACGUAAAUUACAUUCUACGUAAAUUUCUACGUAAAUUUAGCUGCAUAAAACUCCUUCAAAAAUUUCCAGUAAAAGCGCUUCCGCACAGUCAUUGGGAAUAUCAAUUCCAAAAAUUCGUUCCGAAAAAAUUUCUCCUUAUUGCACCAUUUGGCGCGAAGCUGCGGCGAUGCCAUCCCGAAUGAUUUACUUGAAUUCUGGAGUUUGUUACAGCCAAUGUAAUAUCACAAGCAAACAAUAAAAGACAUCCUUUGAUCACGUGUAGUUUCAGCCAGGCAUAAUGAAGAAAGAGCCAGGGCGCCUGCAAUUUCAUGAGUAUGCAACACGGGCUUCUCCUGAGCACGAAUAGUUGCUUCCAAGAUUUGCCAUUUAGAAAGUCAGUGCGCCUUCAAUUUAUGCAGCUUGUGCAACAAAAUAUGUUACGUCACUACAUUUCCAUGUUAUUUUUGCACAUAGAGGAGGCAAUUCAAAUAGAUGUUUAGUGAACUUCAAAAAUGAAACUAAAUAAAUUAAUUAUAUGUUUAAAUAAAAUAGCGGCUGAUUCUUAUACGGAGGUAACUCAUCUCAUUUUACUGGCGGAAUCCCAAUUUUAUGUUCACUUCAACUUUCUCCUUCAAUGCCGCACUUAACAGUAGGCUCAUACAUUUUGCUGUAUCAAACUCUUAUUAAUAGUAUAUUUGUGCACAACAACGUUGCCUACUAAUGCGGUUAUCAAUAACUAAAUCUGGAAUUUGUGUAGAACUUAAGCAAAACAUUUUCGGGAACGUUAUUUGUAGACUUUUUUCGGAGACAUUCUGCACCGAAUUGCGAUUAGAAGAUCUUUUAUUGUACAUCUGCACGAAAAACGACAUUAGUGAUGAAAAAUUAGUAACAGUAAUCUCUCUCUACAGGGUGUCAGGAAGUUAACGUACUUAACUUUCAGGAUCGCUUUAUCGGCUCAAAAUAUGACUUUUUUCCCUAUACACAUAUGCUCGAAAAUGCUUCAUAAAUGAGCUACGCGCUUCCAAAGUUGCCAUUUUUUUUUCUUUGAAAUUAAUGUAAAUCCUCGUCAUUUUUUCAUAAGUGGCUGAAACUUUGUGUAGGGGGGUACUUUUAGCACUCUAUUCAUUUUUUGUGUUUUCAAGGACGUACGUCUACGAAAAAAGACGUCACAAGCGUUCCC